rnacentral:rRNA from 1 species
AAAAAAGAUGGUUCUGCUAUCAUCUUGGAUGGACCUGCGGUGCAUUAGCUAGUUGGUGGGUAACGGCCUACCAAGGCGAUGAUGCAUAGCCGAGUUGAGAGACUGAUCGGCCACAUUGGGACUGAGACACGGCCCAAACUCCUACGGGAGGCAGCAGUAGGGAAUCUUCCACAAUGGACGCAAGUCUGAUGGAGCAACGCCGCGUGAGUGAAGAAGGGUUUCGGCUCGUAAAGCUCUGUUGUUGGUGAAGAAGGACAGGGGUAGUAACUGACCUUUGUUUGACGGUAAUCAAUUAGAAAGUCACGGCUAACUACGUGCCAGCAGCCGCGGUAAAU